rnacentral:rRNA from 1 species
GACGAACGCUGGCGGCGUGCUUAACACAUGCAAGUCGAACGGAAAGGCCCUGCUUGUGUGGGGUGCUCGAGUGGCGAACGGGUGAGUAACACGUGAGUAACCUGCCCUUGACUUUGGGAUAACUUCAGGAAACUGGGGCUAAUACCGUAUAGGAGCUCCUGCUGCAUGGUGGGGGUUGGAAAGUUUCGGCGGUUGGGGAUGGACUCGCGGCUUAUCAGCUUGUUGGUGGGGUAGUGGCUUACCAAGGCUUUGACGGGUAGCCGGCCUGAGAGGGUGACCGGCCACAUUGGGACUGAGAUACGGCCCAGACUCCUACGGGAGGCAGCAGUGGGGAAUAUUGCACAAUGGGAGGAAGCCUGAUGCAGCAACGCCGCGUGCGGGAUGACGGCCUUCGGGUUGUAAACCGCUUUCGCCUGUGACGAAGCGUGAGUGACGGUAAUGGGUAAAGAAGCACCGGCUAACUACGUG